ACCCUUCACUUCCCUACCUGUAGCGACUCCCACACAGCAGUAAGCAUUUGCUAAAGCCGAGUCAUUGGUUUUCUAAUAAGAGGCACAAGGUGGCUUGUAAGUGCCUCCUUGAGCUUCCAUGUAAGCCAAGAAAACAGUGACCGCAGUUACCAUAGCAAAACCAAAAAUGAAGUGAGCAGAUUUGAAUAGUGAAGAGGAUUUGGGGAGUGUUUGAGUCAAAACAGUGUCUGUGUUGUUUGUGUUUUAAAUACCUCUGUUGUAUUAGUGGUUUGAUUAUGUCAGUGUUUUCAAAAAUAUCUUGAUUUUUUUUUUUUAAUGAACAUGUCCAUAGGGGUAUGAUUUAGAAUUUACCUGUCAGCUUCUGAGAAAACGUCUCCAUGGUGCCAAAUAGAAUGACGUAGUGUGGAUAUGUGCAUCUAGCCAGAAUGUCUGCCAUUCGUGGUGGGUUAAUGUCAGGUCCUGGGAGCCAGCCCUGCUCUCUGAUGUGCUGUGCUUUUCCUAGGACAAUGAAGUGAGAAGGGCCACUGGGUAUCUUGUCAUGGGCCUUGCCUGUGGUUAAGCUGGCAAAUCAGCCCUUGGCAUGGCUGCCGUAAGUUGUGUUGUCCAGCUUAGUUUUGAUAAUGAGUGUCACUCUGACCUGUCUGCUGCCUCCGCUUGUGGUGUUGGGCUCUUAGGUAAGAAAAGAUGCCCCUUGUUUGAGACCCAUCAGAAAUCCCAGUAUGAACAAGAUUAUCUGUUUAUUCAGUUUGUAUUUUAUAUCCUUCAGUAAGGUAAAUACAUAUUUGUGAAUGCACAUGUAUUCGAUAUAUACUAAUAUAUGCUGAAACAGGAAUAUAUGUAUAUAUCAAUAGUAGUCUUUUUCUGAAAAUUUUAAUAAUUACUUAAAAGAUUUGGGUUUGCUGUUGCAAAUACAAUUUUAUCAUCUGCUUUUAAAAUUACUGAUAGAGGCCUGACAAGGAUUAGCAAGCAAAGGUGCUUGCUGGCAAGCCUGACAACCCGAGUUCAGACCUUCCGUCUCACGUAAUAGAGAGAACUGAUUUUCUUACACGCUACCCUGAUUUCCACAAGUGUGAUAUAACAUGCACACACACAACAAAUACAUACAUGCAUAUAUACAUACACACAUAAAUAAUAAAUAAGAUUUAAAGUGUUUUUAAAACUCACUGAUCAGAUUCUGAAGCAUUUUUACCACACUUGUCAAAGUGCAUUCCCUAUACUUACUUUUCUUCGCUUGGUCUUAGAAAACUCCCAGCUCCUUGUAGAGGAUGUUGGUGAGCUGUCUUGUGGAGGUAGUUUUUGCUCUUUGAAGAUCUGUACCUAGCUGUCUAAUUGUGCCUUCUGCUUGCCACUUAUGAGACAAAUCACAAUCUUGUGAUUAUGGAAUUGUUUCCCAUUAUUGGUUUGACCAAGGAAGAGAGUUUUUUCAAGUCUGGUGAGAAAUAUUUAAGUCCAUAAAUGGAAGGUCAGAGAGCCCCAAUCACAGAAAGUCACAAGACACAUCAGAGUGACACUUGAGGGUCCAGUGAGAGGACUCCGCUUGUUCUGCAAGCCAGCAACCCGGGACACCUAUAAAUGUGGACAGCGAGACCCGGCUCCGCAGGACUGUCCUCUGACUGUACGUGGGCUGCCGUCCCAAGCACACAGACAACAGUGCAGUUUUUAAAGUUGUUUUAAAAAGAAAUAACUUGAAGACACGUAAAAAAUCUAAAGCAACUAAAUGGAAGAGAAUCCUUAAAAGCAGCUGAAGGGAAUGGCGACAUGUAGGUCUGUGGACUUCCUACAGCUGCCACAAGAACCCAUCACACUGAUCAGAAGAGUGUGACGGUUCUCAGCUCACCUGUCAGGCCCAGUGCUGCGAGCCUGCUCCCUUCUGACCGCUGGAGGCCGGCUGGGCUUCUCCCGUGUGGUCUUCCUACAGCUUGUGGCAAUGCAACUUCAGGUUUUGCUUCUGUCCUCACUACGCCUGUUCCUCCUCACUGUGCAUGUCUGUCGUCUCUGCGGAUGUCUGUCUAUGUUUCCAUUUUAUCAGGACAUGUCUGAUCAAGGUCCCACCUUACUUACACGUGACCUCAUGUUGAUUGGCAUCUGUAAAAGCCUUAUUCCGUAAGGUCACAUUGAAAGUAUUAGAGGCUGGAGGGACAUUAUUGGUACCCUAAGACGUACCCCAUGUUUAGCAGAUUAAAAUGACGGUAGAUAUUU
rnacentral:lncRNA from 1 species